CAGCUUCCUGCUCUCCUGGCCAUCUGAUUGGACGAGCCUGACGCUGCUCAGGUUGAUGGACAGCACUGUGGACUUAUGGGUAUCUACCUCCUUCUGUAGGUCCUGAGAUACAGAGCAGCAGAAAUAUUGAAGUACGGCUCUCUGCAGCGGGUCUGUUGAAGUGUAAAGCAGGUCACUGAGGUCAGGGUGUGUGUAUUUGGGUCAGUGUGCUUCUGUUUUUAGACGAGUUAGACUCACACUAAAUAUCUUUCAUACCAUAGACAUGUGAUCAUCACACACACACACACACACACACACACAAUCAUAUUACAAACACAAUGUUACUUAUAAUAGCUUCUGUAAAGCAUACUGUAUGUACUGUGAGCAAUCACACACACCAACGUUUACAUUUCUGGCAUUUGGGAGACGUCCUUAUCCAGAGUGACUUACAAUUUAUUUCAUUUUUUGUAGAACUGAGUAAUUAAGGGCUAAGGGUUAAGGGCCUUGCUCAGGGGCCCAGCAGUUAAGGGCUGAGGGCCUUGUUGAGGGGCCCAGCAGUAGCUGCUUGACCUGGGUUUGACCUGGGAUUCAAACUCACAACCUUCUGAUCAGUUAUCCAACACCUUAACCACUAAGCUACCACAUCCCCACCCACACCCCAACACACACACACACCCCAACACAGUCCCCCAUACACACCAACACACACUCUAUCAUAUUACAAACACACUGUUACAGUUUCUAUAAUAGCUUCUGUAAAUCUUAUGUACUGUGAGCAAUUACACACACACCCCAACACACCCAUACCCCAACACACACACAUCCUAACACACCCCCACCUUGAGUUUUCUGAUCCUUUGGUCGAUGCUGUGUAUAUCCGUGCUCAAGUCCCUCCCCUUCAGCUCAGCCAGCUCCUCCUCUGUCUGGCUAAGCCACGCCUCCAUAUUCUCCAGAUCAGAGAUCAGCUGUUGCCAUAGCAGCAGGUCUUCGCUGGAGUUAAGGGACUGAGCCUGGAUGAGCUCCCAGCGCUCGAUCACACCUACGGAGCACAAAAAAAAAGGUUUAAAAAUCACGACUCUACACAAUGAUGACAUCACGGAGCGUCCAAUAACGUCCAGUUCCUCUAAUAAUGUCUUUCUGGAACCAACCGACCAACCAGCACGAAGCUCCACCUCAGGACUUCCUGGUUCCCAGAACUUUGGAGCAAGAAAGGUAAAAAAGAUUCGGAAAUAAAACACGCCUGUGUGUGCAGAGUUCCUGACAGAGUUCCUGAAAAGGAAUCCGGUUCCUGUGUGUGUGUGUGUCUGUAACCUGUG